CUGCGGUGCCGGCAAAAACUCACCAUCUGUGCCUGGGAGGAGGUCAGGGUAGCUACCGGGCACGGAUGCUGCCAGGCAUCUGAAGAAAAGCCUCAAGUCCACACUGAGGACAGAGGCAAGGACAGGGAGGAUGUAAAAAUGAACCGACCAGAAGGCUAAUGUCAGGUAAGUAAAGGCAAGGUAAGAGGAAGGAAGCAGCCAUGGGGACGAGGAAGGAGGAAGAACGUAAUGAAAGCAAAAGGAAAAGAGGAGAACAGAGAAGGCAUACUACCAGAAUGCAAGGGCAUGGUCUGGAAAGAAAAAGAACCAACCAAAAAGAAAAAUAAGCACUAGAAAGCAAAGCCAAAG